AUUGAACGCUGGCGGCAUGCUUUACACAUGCAAGUCGAACGGUAACAGGCCGCAAGGUGCUGACGAGUGGCGAACGGGUGAGUAAUGCAUCGGAACGUGCCCAGUCGUGGGGGAUAACGCAGCGAAAGCUGUGCUAAUACCGCAUACGAUCUAUGGAUGAAAGCGGGGGACCGGAAGGCCUCGCGCGAUUGGAGCGGCCGAUGGCAGAUUAGGUAGUUGGUGGGGUAAAGGCCUACCAAGCCGACGCUCUGUAGCUGGUCUGAGAGGACGACCAGCCACACUGGGACUGAGACACGGCACAGACUCCUACGGGAGGCAGCAGUGGGGAAUUUUGGACAAUGGGCGCAAGCCUGAUCCAGCAAUGCCGCGUGCAGGAAGAAGGCCUUCGGGUUGUAAACUGCUUUUGUACGGAACGAAACGGCCUGGGUUAAUACCCUGGGCUAAUGACGGUACCGUAAGAAUAAGCACCGGCUAACUACGUGCCAGCCGCCGCCGUAAGAC
rnacentral:rRNA from 1 species